AUGGCGGCGAGCUCGAUCUCCUCGCCGAAGAGGGUGGGGUGGUGCGUGGGCCGCGCGGUGGCGGGAGGGGAGGACGUGGAAGAGGAGCAGCGAUUGGAGCGACUUGAGGUUCCAGGGCUCGAGCAGGAGGCGCUUGAACUCCGGGUCGAGGUCCCGCUCCAGCGCCUUAUUCCGCGGCGCGAAGAUGGUGACGUUGUGCCUCCCGACGGCGUCCUCCAGCGUCUGGAUCAGCACGGCCUUCUCCACCAGCUCCGCCAGCUCCGUGUAGUAAGCAGGGUCGAGCUGCAGAUCGACAUCGAUAUGGCCGGAGGAGCAGCAUGGAAAGAAUCGGGUAUCGCAGCAUGGAAAGAAUCGGGUAUCCAGGCGUUGGUGUUGCUGAGCUUGACGCUCCAGGUGGCGCUGCUCAUGCUGGCGGAAUUCCGGCGGCGCGUGGACUCCGGUGCGGUAAGGUUCUUGGCUUGGUCGGCGUACAUGCUGGCCGACGGCACGGCCAUCUACGUGCUGGGCCACCUGUCCGCCGCCAGCCGGUCUCCCGACCACGAGCUGAUGGCCUUCUGGGCGCCGUUCCUGCUGCUCCAUCUGGGCGGGCAGGACAACAUCACCGCCUACGCCGUCGAGGACAACCGGCUCUGGCUGCGGCACCUGCAGACGUUCGCCGUGCAGGUGACCGCCGCCGGCUACGUCCUCUUCUACACCUCCGUUGUCGUUGGUAGCCAGUCGGGCUCGGCCUUGCUCCGGUGGGCCGGCAUCCUCAUGUUUGUGAUGGGUGUCGUCAAGUACGCGGAGAGGGUCUGGGCGCUCCGGUGCGCUGGCAGCAACCCGGUGGGGAAGAACUACCAAGCUUUACAGCAUUCGGGCUUCGUUAUGUCACGCAACAAUCUGCAAGACAUACUAAAGAAGCGUCCGUGGGACACUGAAGACUGCCUACUGAUGGCUCACCGAGCGCUUGGGGUUCCCAAGGAAAUGAUCAAGGGGCUGAUCAACGAAGCAGGAUACGGACAUGCAGCUUCGUAUCUCCGGGAGGAGGGCCGUCUGUACAAGGUGGUUGAGAUGCAGAUGUACCUGAUGCACGACGUACUGUACACCAAGGCUGAGGUGAUGCACACUUGGUUCGGCCUCUGCAUCCGUAUGCUCUCGCCGGCGGCCACCACCGUCGCCUUGCUGCUGUUCCAUCGCCAUCAACAUCGUCGUCAUCAACAUCGGGUAGAUGUGGCUGUCACCUAUGUCCUGCUGAUAGGUGCCCUUGUCCUGGAGGUGGUGUCGGCGUUGAGAGGCUUAUUCUCGAGUUGGGCAUGCGUGCUCCUCAUAAGUCAUGGGCCGCAUUACUCCCUCCGCGAGACCUUGAGUCACAUACCCGGCGGCAGGCCAAGAUGGUGGCUCAGGGCCGCAGCAUGGGUAGCAAGACAUGUCAGCGGUUCGCUCGGCCGUAUGGUGUUGUCCGUCCGCCGGCUGGUCCGCGCAGCGGACUGGGCAAGGUACUGGUCGGCCUCCAUGGGGCAGCACAACCUGUUGCAGCUGGCCGCUCGCAGCAGGGUCAGCAAGAGAAGCAGGAUGGCGAAUUCGAUGGGGAGAGAGGUGUGGUGGAACGCUAUGGCCUACUCGAGCUCCAUCCCUGUCUCGCCCUUCAUCCAGGAUCUGGUGGUGGACUACCUCCUGAGCAAGGAGGGUGACCUCAGGCUCUUUAAGGAUGACCACGACAGCCUUGUACAUUUUGAUUCACGGGGUCAAGCGGAGCUCAGGAGGUGGGGAUUGUACGAGGGCCUGACCUGGAGCGUGGAAGAAAAGAUCCUUGUCUGGCACAUCGCCACCAACAUCUACAUCUACUCCAUGAUGAGCAGCAGCAGCGAGGAGAAGGAGGAGCAUGAGGUGAGUGAUCUUGCCGAGGCGGUCCAGGCGCUCUCCAACUACAUGCUGUACCUCCUCGCCUCACGCCCCUACAUGCUUGGUCCCACUGCCAACCACAAUUCCUACAUCGAGGUGUGCUUUGGCCUCAUCGCGCGUGGUCCGCGUGAUGCUGCUGCUACGCCUUACAGCUCACCCGAGGAGGUGGCCAGAUUUCUCAAGACCUACGGGGAUACAGGGAGGGGCAGCCGUUUUCCGCUACUACGUGUUGAUCACACAACACAAGGCCAUCUCGUAUCCAUGUUGGAUAAAGGAUGCGAGCUUGGUGCCAAGAUCGUCCAAGAUGACGCAGUGGACACGCUGGAGCUGCUCGCCCAGGUGUGGGUGGAGACGCUAUGCUACGCGGGCCAGCGGUGCAGCGCACUUUGCCAUGCCAAGCAGCUCAGCGACGGCGGUGAGCUCAUCACCGUCGCUGCCAUUCUAGUGGAGUACUUCAAACGAGGAAAAUUCCGUUGA
rnacentral:rRNA from 1 species